CCCUUAGAUGUCCUGGGCCGCACGCGCGCUACACUGAUGCAUUCAACGAGUUUCUUCCUGGUCCGAGAGGAAUGGGUAACCUUUUGAAAGUGCAUUGUGAUAGGGAUAGACUAUUGCAAUUAUUGGUCUUCAACGAGGAAUUCCUAGUAGACGUAGUUCAUCAGACUGCAUCGAUUACGUCCCUGCCCUUUGUACACACCGCCCGUCGCUCCUACCGAUUGAAUGCUCAGGUGAGCCAUUCGGACUUUCAUCAUGCUGGUUUCCAGUUUUGAUGAAGGAAAGUCUUGCGAACCUUAUCAUUUAGAGGAAGGAGAAGUCGUAACA
rnacentral:rRNA from 1 species